rnacentral:tRNA from 1 species
CGGCACGGCCCGCCCGGCCCGCCGCGCCAAGGCGGCCAAGCCCGCCACCAUGGGUCAGGCCAUCGGCCGCGCG